GACGAACGCUGGCGGCGUGCUUAACACAUGCAAGUCGAGCGGUAAGGCCCUUUCGGGGGUACACGAGCGGCGAACGGGUGAGUAACACGUGGGUGACCUGCCCUCAGCUCUGGGAUAAGCCUGGGAAACUGGGUCUAAUACUGGAUAUGACUCCACGGUGCAUGUCGUGGGGUGGAAAGCCUUGUGCGGCUGAGGAUGGGCCCGCGGCCUAUCAGCUUGUUGGUGGGGUGANGGGCCUACCAAGGCGACGACGGGUAGCCGGCCUGAGAGGGCGACCGGCCACACUGGGACUGAGACACGGCCCAGACUCCUACGGGAGGCAGCAGUGGGGAAUAUUGGACAAUGGGCGAAAGCCUGAUCCAGCCAUGCCGCGUGAGUGAAGAAGGCCUUAGGGUUGUAAAGCUCUUUCAGCGGGGACGAUAAUGACGGUACCCGCAGAAGAAGUCCCGGCUAACUUCGUGCCAGCAGCCGCGGUAAC
rnacentral:rRNA from 1 species